rnacentral:rRNA from 1 species
UACAGAGACUGCAAGCGUUAUUCGGAUUCACUGGGCGUAAAGGGUGCGCAGGCGGCCGAGUGUGUGAGGCGUGAAAGCCCGGGGCUUAACCCCGGAAUUGCACCUCAAACUACACGGCUAGAGCAUUGGAGAGGGUAGCAGAAUUCACGGUGUAGCAGUGAAAUGCGCAGAUAUCAGGAGGAACACCGGUGGCGAAGGCGGAUCUCUGGGCCUUACCUGACGCUCAGGCGCGAAAGCUAGGGGAGCGAACAGG